UCACACCUGUUCCCAUGCCGAACACAGAAGUUAAGCUCCUUAGCGUCGAUGGUAGUCGAACUUACGUUCCGCUAGAGUAGAACGUUGCCAGGC
rnacentral:rRNA from 1 species